rnacentral:rRNA from 1 species
ACGGCUCAGUAACACGUGGGUAACCUGCCUUAUAGAGGGGGAUAGCCUUCCGAAAGGAAGAUUAAUACCGCAUAACAUUUUCGUUCCGCAUGAAAUGGGAAUCAAAGGAGCAAUCCGCUAUAAGAUGGACCCGCGGCGCAUUAGCUAGUUGGUGAGGUAAUGGCUCACCAAGGCGACGAUGCGUAGCCGACCUGAGAGGGUGAUCGGCCACAUUGGAACUGAGAUACGGUCCAGACUCCUACGGGAGGCAGCAGUGGGGAAUAUUGCACAAUGGGGGAAACCCUGAUGCAGCAACGCCGCGUGAGUGAUGAAGGCCUUCGGGUUGUAAAGCUCUGUCUUUGGGGACGAUAAUGACGGUACCCAAGGAGGAAGCCACGGCUAACUACGUGCCAGCAGCCGCGGUAAUACGUAGGUGGCAAGCGUUGUCCGGAUUUACUGGGCGUAAAGGGAGCGUAGGUGGAUAUUUAAGUGGGAUGUGAAAUACCUGAGCUUAACUUGGGUGCUGCAUUCCAAACUGGAUAUCUAGAGUGCAGGAGAGGAAAGUGGAAUUCCUAGUGUAGCGGUGAAAUGCGUAGAGAUUAGGAAGAACACCAGUGGCGAAGGCGACUUUCUGGACUGUAACUGACACUGAGGCUCGAAAGCGUGGGGAGCAAACAGGAUUAGAUACCCUGGUAGUCCACGCCGUAAACGAUGGAUACUAGGUGUGGGGGUUUCAACACCUCCGUGCCGCCGUUAACACAAUAAGUAUCCCGCCUGGGGAGUACGGUCGCAAGAUUAAAACUCAAAGGAAUUGGCGGGGGAGCAC